AUGGCCCAGGAACUUGUCCUACGCCUCGACACAGCUCAGGAAAAGUGCCUACUUACACCCGCUGAACUAGAAUUUAGGAAAAAGCUUAAACUCCGCCUUUUGGGCUUAGCAGCCAUUGAUAGGGCGAGGAAGAGGCAAUGCUCCAGAAUAAACUGGCUGCGGGCUGGAGAUGCUAGUACGGCUUUUUUCCACGCCAAGAUCAAUGCUAGAAAACGGAAAAACUUCAUCUUAUCCUUGAACAAGGAUGGUGUGCUGGUGACAAGUCAUUCUGAAAAGGAGGAGGUGAUCAAGGAUCACUUCACCAGACUGUUAGGCACUCAACAACGCCGUGCGUGCACAUUAAACUGGAAUGAAAUCCAGCUGCCCCAACUAGACACAUCGGGACUAGAACUACCUUUCUUGGAAGCUAAAGUUUGGAACGCCAUCAAACAAUCGCCGGCUGACCGUGCCCCUGGCCCGGACGGCUUCUCCGGCGUCUUUUAUAGGCAGUGCUGGCGCAUCAUAAAAGCUGAUCUCAUGCGAGCCCUACAGCAAUUCCAUGAUCUCAACCGUGGC
rnacentral:rRNA from 1 species